rnacentral:rRNA from 1 species
GACGAACGCUGGCGGCGUGCUUAACACAUGCAAGUCGAACGGAAAGGCCCUGCUUUUGUGGGGUGCUCGAGUGGCGAACGGGUGAGUAACACGUGAGUAACCUGCCCUUGACUUUGGGAUAACUUCAGGAAACUGGGGCUAAUACCGGAUAGGAGCUCCUGCUGCAUGGUGGGGGUUGGAAAGUUUCGGCGGUUGGGGAUGGACCCGCGGCUUAUCAGCUUGUUGGUGGGGUAGUGGCUUACCAAGGCUUUGACGGGUAGCCGGCCUGGGAGGGUGACCGGCCACCUUGGGACUGCGAUACGGCCCAGACUCCUACGGGAGGCAGCAGUGGGGAAUAUUGCACAAUGGGCGGAAGCCUGAUGCAGCAACGCCGCGUGCGGGAUGACGGCCUUCGGGUUGUAAACCGCUUUCGCCUGUGACGAAGCGUGAGUGACGGUAAUGGGUAAAGAAGCACCGGCUAACUACGUG